rnacentral:rRNA from 1 species
GCACCAGACUCCUACGGGAGGCGGCAGUAGGGAAUCUUCCACAAUGGACGAAAGUCUGAUGGAGCAACGCCGCGUGAGUGAAGAAGGGUUUCGGCUCGUAAAGCUCUGUUGGUAGUGAAGAAAGAUAGAGGUAGUAACUGGCCUUUAUUUGACGGUAAUUACUUAGAAAGUCACGGCUAACUACGUGCCAGCAGCCGCGGGAAUACGUAGGUGGCAAGCGUUGUCCGGAUUUAUUGGGCGUAAAGCGAGUGCAGGCGGAUAUGUAAGAUAGCGGUGAAAUGCCGGGGCUCAACCCCGGAACUGCCAUUAUGACUAUGUAUCUAGGGUAAUGGAGAGGAUGGCGGAAUACCCAGUGUAGAGGUGAAAUUCGUAGAUAUUGGGUAGAACACCGGUGGCGAAGGCGGCUAUCUGGCCAUUUACUGACGCUGAGGCUCGAAAGCAUGGGGAUCAAACAGGAUUAGAUACCCCUGUAA